GUAGGGGGCAAGCGUUGUCCGGAAUUAUUGGGCGUAAAGCGCGCGCAGGCGGUCUCUUAAGUCUGAUGUGAAAGCCCACGGCUCAACCGUGGAGGGUCAUUGGAAACUGGGAGACUUGAGUGUAGGAGAGGAAAGUGGAAUUCCACGUGUAGCGGUGAAAUGCGUAGAUAUGUGGAGGAACACCAGUGGCGAAGGCGACUUUCUGGCCUACAACUGACGCUGAGGCGCGAAAGCGUGGGGAGCAAACAGGGAUUAGAUACCCUGGUAGUCCACGCUGUAAACGAUGAGUGCUAGGUGUUAGGGGGUUUCGAUGCCCCCUUAGUGCCGAAGUUAACACAUUAAGCACUCCGCCUGGGGAGUACGGCCGCAAGGCUG
rnacentral:rRNA from 1 species